rnacentral:lncRNA from 1 species
AAAGUUGUUAGUGAGAGAUAUCUACCUAUUAUUAAAUGACUUUGAAAGCUAACACGAGAAUAGUUUAGUGAAGAUGUGAUGUCAUUAAGAAGAUUAAGCACUUCUCUAUUGGUUGGCUUCUGCAUAAUUUUAACAGGCCAAGUUCCUUAACUUUAGAUCUAUGAAUUAUUGAAGAUCAUUUUUAACUCUCUGAGAAAAGAUUUGCCCGUUGUGAUGAAAAAGACAAUCUAGUGGCAGAGUAAAUGAUGCAGAACCAAAUCCGGGAACAACAGCUGCAGCGGCGAUGAUGCACUCUUGAAAUUAUUGCCGUGAGUUGUAACUUUAAAAUGGAAGCAGAAGAAGAGGGGGAAGAGAAGGAGGAAGAAGAGAAGAAGGAGAAGGGAGGAGGAAGAAAGGAGAGGAAAACGUGGGGGAAAGAAAUUCUUAAUUAUUCGUUAAAAUCCUAAUCAUGAAAAUAGUCCCCUAUAUAUAGGGCCAAAUACACAAUUUGCAUAAAUCCC